rnacentral:rRNA from 1 species
CCUACGGGUGGCCGCAGUGAGGAAUAUUGGUCAAUGGCCGUAAGGCUGAACCCGCCAAGUAGCGUGAGGGAAGACUGCCCUAUGGGUUGUAAACCUCUUUUAUGCGGGGAUAAAGGUGUCCACGUGUUGAUGUUUGCAGGUACCGCAUGAAUAAGGACCGGCUAACUCCGUGCCAGCAGCCGCGGUAAUACGGAAGGUCCGGGCGUUAUCCGGAUUUCUGGGGUUUAAAGGGAGCGUAGUCCGUUCUUUAAGCGUGCCGUGAAAUUUUGUGGCUACACCAUGAGAGUGCGGCGCGAACUGGAGACCUUGAGUGCGCGGACGGCAGGCGGAGUUCGGGGUGUAGCGGUGAAGUGCUUAGAUAUCACGAAGAACCCCGAUGGCGAAGGCAGCCUGCCGCAGCGUUACUGACGCUGAAGCUCGAAAGCGCGGGUAUCGAACAGGAUUAGAUACCCCAGUAGUC